AUAUUGAAGGAAUUAUGGGUGCACUCUCAUGUCUGAUGGGUGCACAGACAAGAAAGGAAGGCACUUAAUUAAUUUUCUUGUCAACAGUACAGAGGGGACAUUCUUUUUGGGGUCUGUGGAUGCAUCAAGUCAAAUACAAGAUGCAAAAAUGUUAUUUGAGCUCCUUGAUAGUAAGAUUGAGGAGAUUGGAGAGGAGAAUGUGGUUCAAGUGGUCACUGAUAAUGCUUCCAAUUAUGUUGCUGCUGGAAGGUUAUUAAUGGAGAAAAGAAA